UGAACAUCGUGUUGAUCAUUUGAU
rnacentral:siRNA from 1 species